UACGGAGGGUGCAAGCGUUAUCCGGAUUCACUGGGUUUAAAGGGUGCGUAGGUGGGCUAGUAAGUCAGUGGUGAAAUCUCCGGGCUUAACUCGGAAACUGCCAUUGAUACUAUUAGUCUUGAAUACCAUGGAGGUGAGCGGAAUAUGUCAUGUAGCGGUGAAGUGCUUAGAUAUGACAUAGAACACCAAUUGCGAAGGCAGCUCGCUACGCGGUUAUUGACACUGAGGCACGAAAGCGUGGGGAUCAAACAGGAUUAGAUACCCUGGUAGUCCACGCCCUAAACGAUGGAUACUCGACAUCAGCGAUACACUGUUGGUGUCUGAGCGAAAGCAUUAAGUAUCCCACCUGGGAAGUACGACCGCAAGGUUGAAACUCAAAG
rnacentral:rRNA from 1 species